AGUGAACGCUGGCGGUAUGCCUAACACAUGCAAGUCGAACGGCAGCACAGUAAGAGCUUGCUCUUACGGGUGGCGAGUGGCGGACGAGUGAGGAAUACAUCGGAAUCUACUUUUUCGUGGGGGAUAACGUAGAGAAACUUACGCUAAUACCGCAUACGACCUACGGGUGAAAUCAGGGGAUCUUCGGACCUUUCGCGAUUGAAUGAGCCGAUGUCGGAUUAGCUAGUUGGCGGGGUAAAGGCCCACCAAGGCGACGAUCCGUAGCUGGUCUGAGAGGAUGAUCAGCCACACUGGAACUGAGACACGGUCCAGACUCCUACGGGAGGCAGCAGUGGGGAAUAUUGGACAAUGGGCGCAAGCCUGAUCCAGCCAUACCGCGUGGGUGAAGAAGGCCUUCGGGUUGUAAAGCCCUUUUGUUGGGAAAGAAAAGCAGCAGGUUAAUACCCCGCUGUUCUGACGGUACCCAAAGAAUAAGCACCGGCUAACUUCGUG
rnacentral:rRNA from 1 species